rnacentral:sRNA from 1 species
UUUACUUCCUGCAGCAGGUGGUGGGGCCAUGUGGAAAUGGCUUCUUUACUUGAAGUCUGCUAAGAUGUCACUGAAAAUAUUGAGGAACAGGUGAGCGUGGUGAUCCCUGAAGACCAGCGUGGGACGGAAACGAAUGGAUUUGUCACCACAGCCACCCAACACCACACCUGAAAGAGGCAGGAGAGAUGGAGUCUCACUCUGUCACCCAGGCUGGGGUGCAGUGGCAACCCAGUCUCACUCACUGCAACCUCCACCUCCCAGGUUGAAGCCAUUCUCCUGCCUCAGUCUCCCAAGUAGCUGGGAUUACAGGUGCCGCCACCAUGGCCAGCUAAUUUUUGUAUUUUUAGUAGAGAUGAGGUUUUGCCCUGUUGACCAGGCUGGUCUCGAACUCCUGACUUCAGCUGAUCUGCCCACGUCGGCCUCCCAAAGUGCUGGGAUUACAGGCGUGAGCUACUGCACCCGGCCUGUUUAUGCCUUUGAGACCACGUUUUCUCAUUUUUAAAAUGGAGGUUGAUUAUCCCUGCCCUUCUGAGGCUGCUGCAAGGAUUCUGUAAGAUGGCA